rnacentral:pre_miRNA from 9 species
GGCUAAUGUUGUGGACAGGCGGGAAUGUGGUGAAAGACAUGGGUAGUGAGACGUUACAUUGAGUCGUAUCACUAUUCUGUUUUUCGCCUCGUAUCCUCGCGCAGUCCCCCUCUUACUG